CUUUUCGAGGUAGGAGUCGACUCCUGUGAGGUAUGGUGCUGGGUGCAGAUGCAGUGUGGCUCUGGAUAGCACCUUAUGGACAGUUGUGUCCCCAAGGAAGGAUGAGAAUAGCUACUGAAGUCCUAAAGAGCAAGCCUAACUCAAGCCAUUGGCACACAGGCAUUAGACAGAAAGCUGGAAGUUGAAAUGGUGGAGUCCAACUUGCCUGGACCAGCUUAAUGGUUCUGCUCCUGGUAACGUUUUUAUCCAUGGAUGACUUGCUUGGGUAUGGAGAGUCGGCUUGACUACACUGUGUGGAGCAAGUUUUAAAGAAGCAAAGGACUCAGAAUUCAUGAUUGAAGAAAUGCAGGCAGACCUGUUAUCCUAAACUAGGGUUUUUAAUGACCACAACAAGCAAGCAUGCAGCUUACUGCUUGAAAGUCUUGUCUUAUUUUUUGAGACAGGGUCUUGCCUCACCCAAGCUAGAGUGCAGUGGCCUUUGAAGCUUACUACAGCCUCAAACUUCUGGGCUCAAGUGAUCCUCAGCCUCCCAGUGGUCUUUGUAGACUGCCUGAUGGAGUCUCAUGGCACAAGAAGAUUAAAACAGUGUCUCCAAUUUUAAUAAAUUUUUGCAAUCCAU
rnacentral:lncRNA from 10 species